AGUCCACUCAGCCAUCUUUCC
rnacentral:tRNA from 2 species